UAGGGAAUCUUCGGCAAUGGACGAAAGUCUGACCGAGCAACGCCGCGUGAGUGAAGAAGGUUUUCGGAUCGUAAAACUCUGUUGUUAGAGAAGAACAAGGACGUUAGUAACUGAACGUCCCCUGACGGUAUCUAACCAGAAAGCCACGGCUAACUACGUGCCAGCAGCCGCGGUAAUACGUAGGUGGCAAGCGUUGUCCGGAUUUAUUGGGUGUAAAGCGAGCGCAGGCGGUUUCUUAAGUCUGAUGUGAAAGCCCCCGGCUCAACCGGGGAGGGUCAUUGGAAACUGGGAGACUUGAGUGCAGAAGAGGAGAGUGGAAUUCCAUGUGUAGCGGUGAAAUGCGUAGAUAUAUGGAGGAACACCAGUGGCGAAGGCGGCUCUCUGGUCUGUAACUGACGCUGAGGCUAGAAAGCGUGGGGAGCAAACAGG
rnacentral:rRNA from 1 species